AGCUCAGUUACUGAUGGACUGCUUUCCAGAGCUAUUGAGAGAACUACAGUAUAUACUGCAUAAACCAACAACAAUACUUAGCAUCACCAACAACAAAAAUUGUGAAUUUGGACUCAUGUUAUUAAUCACAAAAAAGCUUCGCUGACAGAAAAGAGCAAACAUGUCGU